CCUACGGGGGGCUGCAGUAGGGAAUCUUCCGCAAUGGACGAAAGUCUGACGGAGCAACGCCGCGUGAGCGAAGAAGGUCUUCGGAUCGUAAAGCUCUGUUGUUAGGGAAGAACAAGUAUCGGAGGAAAUGCCGGUACCUUGACGGUACCUGACGAGAAAGCCACGGCUAACUACGUGCCAGCAGCCGCGGUAAU
rnacentral:rRNA from 1 species